rnacentral:lncRNA from 1 species
AAAACUGGACAGAAGUAGUUUUUAAGGCCAGCCUCUGAGGUGUAUUCUGACCCCAAGAGGACCCUUCUUAGCUGUCUCUUUCCCUGGGGUUCUCUAAGGUCCUGCAACUGCUUUGAUGAGAUCCAGGUGUAGUUCUUAACUAGUUUGGCAACUUUUACCUCCUUCAUCUUGGCAUCCUACGCCACAAGUAAGAAGUCUAGGCCAUGUAGAGGAUGACAGCUGCAAGACAUACGAGUUAAAAAGCCUCAUGGGACCUCCAGCCCAGUCAAUCUUUCAGAUGAAUCCAGUCCCAGCUGCAACCCCUGAAAUGAUAUCAAGGAUCCCAAGCAUGAACCACCAAGCUAAGUCUGGUCAACCCACAGAACUAUGAAAUACAGUAAUAAAUUGAUGUUUUGAAGUGCUAAGUUUUGGAGCGGUUUGUUAUACAGCAAUAGAAAACUGGAACAGCUAUAUAUUUUGUUAGUUUUUAGUGGUUACCCAGGAGAUUACAACAUGUAUUCUUGACUUAUUAGAAUCUAUAUUAAAUAUAGUUUCACAAUAAUGC